GCCACCUAUCUCAACGAAGCUUUUUCUUCCCUCCGGUGUGGAUCCACACUCUUCAUGCGCGGGAUUGGGUUUUGGAUCUGCUCCUGUGUUUUCAUUAUUUGCUGGUUUCUCUUUUUGAUCGGGGAUUUGAGAUACGUAUUUGGUUGUGGACGAUGAAGAUUGUAUCUAUUGGUCUCGUUCGUCGUAACUGGCAUCUGAUUGGAUUGCCUUGCCGACCAUCCUGAUAUAUCACCACCCAUAUUCCGAGUCCGCUGCCUACAGUCCUCAGUCCCCAUCGAGAUUUUCUUAUCUAUUUAGCCUUUGUUCCAUGAUUUACUACUAUUGUUUUCUGGCCGAUGAUUAAAUCAAAAAAAUAGACAAGCAUAUGUCCGAAUCCAUCUAUGUGGAUAAGCCUAAUCUUCUCUAUGAGGUCGGCCACAUCUUCUAGGUUUACUGUUUUUUUUUCAUUUGAUCUUAUUUUGAUUCAUCUAGGGGCCGAAGACGAAAUAUAUGGAUGUUAUUUUUGUAUGAUACAUUUUGAUUACAAAACCAUUUCUGCCUUCCUUCUGAGGCCCCUCUUCAUUUGGAUCUUGUUAUUUUGUACGUUGUGAGUUUAUUUUGUGAUCUAUAUAAGUGGUUCAUGGCUUCUCCUAAGGUCGGGUGAUGAGUAAAUGUGCAUAGUUCAGAUGAUCAACCCUAGUGGUUUUGAUUACCUUGAAUAAAUAGUCUUUCGCUCCUAACUGACGACCUUAUCAACGCCCAGUCUUUCUUGGAUUAGAUAAGUUUCACUUUGCUGUAAGAUUUUGGUCGUCAGAAAAUGAUAAAAAUUUGCUUGUUUUGAAGUCUUGCGAGAUUUUUUUUAUUUUUCCGCACAUGCGGAGGAAGUAUUGAAAUGCACAUGUAAAGAGGCCCCGAGUUUGAUCCUGAAUACUCGGGCUCCUAACCUUGGUGUGCGAGAGUUUAAUCUGGCGAUUCACUCUUCUUUGAGAGCGCAGAUGCUUCCCAUCGUGCCCUCACUGUGAAUUGUCGCACAAUUACUUAAAAGCAGCCAUAUUUUCGUGUAAAGAAUUGUUUUCGCUUCGUUUGAUUGUCAGAAUUUGGCAGCAAAGAAUUGAAUCGAUGUUGAAUACCAAAUCAGUUUGGAUAUUGAAAUGGGCUUCAAAUCAAAUUCUUGUUUGGAUGGACAAGAAUUUGGUAUGUAAAAUCAUAGGGAAUUUUCCAAUUCCAAAGGAUGGGCUAGACAACCUUUGAAUUCCAAGCCCUGAGGAGUACAGAACUGUGAACUGCACGAUUGGAAAAAGGUCAGCCGAUUCCACCCAAAAGGAGUGCACGGCCUCUGAAUUGUGCGCGGCCAUGGUUACUAAAAUGAACAGUAGUGUGGAAUUGGAUUCCAAUGUAUUGCUAUUCAGAAUAAAACAUCAGCAUUUGCUUCAGC